UAAUACAGAGACUGCAAGCGUUAUUCGGAUUCACUGGGCGUAAAGGGUGCGCAGGCGGCCGUGUGUGUUAGGUGUGAAAGCCCGGGGCUUAACCCCGGAAUUGCGCCUAAAACUACAUGGCUAGAGCAUUGGAGAGGGUAGCGGAAUUCACGGUGUAGCAGUGAAAUGCGUAGAUAUCGUGAGGAACACCAGAGGCGAAGGCGGCUACCUGGACAAUUGCUGACGCUCAGGCACGAAAGCGUGGGGAGCAAAAGGGAUUAGAUACCCCUGUAGUCCACGCCCUAAACGGUGCACACUAGGUCUUAGCGGAUUCGAUCCCGCUAGGGCCCAAGCUAACGCGUUAAGUGUGCCGCCUGAGGACUACGGUCGCAAGACUAAAACUUAAAGGAAUUGACGG
rnacentral:rRNA from 1 species